rnacentral:rRNA from 1 species
GAUCAUGGCUCAGGAUGAACGCUGGCGGCGUGCUUAACACAUGCAAGUCGAACGGAGUUUACAUGAAACCUAGUGAUUGUAAACUUAGUGGCGGACGGGUGAGUAACGCGUGGGUAACCUGCCUUGUACUGGGGGACAACAGUUGGAAACGACUGCUAAUACCGCAUAAGCGCACAGCUUCGCAUGAAGCAGUGUGAAAAACUCCGGUGGUACAAGAUGGACCCGCGUCUGAUUAGCUGG